rnacentral:ncRNA from 3 species
GACCGUCGUGAGACAGGUUAG